rnacentral:tRNA from 4 species
GGGCGUGUAACUCAGCGGUUAGAGUGCCUCCCUUACAAGGAGGAAGUCGGGGGUUCGAGUCCCUCCACGCCCA